rnacentral:lncRNA from 1 species
GAUAACCUCAAACAAUCAUAGUCUGGGAGAGGAUUCAAUCUGCUUUGUGAUCUGCCUCAUUAGGGACACCUCCAAAUAUGAAAGACUGGAAGAAAGUAUGCCAUGGGCUAUGUUAGUCCUGCUGUUGUCCUUUAUAGCUUUUUUUGACCUUCUCUCAAGGUUAAAAUUAGUAUUGGAGUCAAGCUUCUAAUUCAGAGAGAGGCUGGUCUGACCCAGAGCAGCCGUUCUGUUUCUCAGUGUGAAGCCUGGUCCAGUCAAUGGAGCCAGCCUUGCUGAGCUCAGCCCUUCUCAGGGCAGAUAUCCCCCAGGAAUCACUGACUCUGCUGUCCUUCCUACAGGCCAAAACUCAGUGAAUCACACUUCAGCUGCUAAUGUCAGGUUGUGAAAAGUUCCAUGCCUGAGGCUCCUCUGCUGUGCUGGUGAAACCUCUGCUGCUCCAUGUUGAUGCUGCUCCCUCGUGCCAUCCCCUGCUCACUGACACAAGACAAAAUGUGUCUGGGCAAGGAAUUGAUCUAAUGCAAUACCAUGUACUCCUUGGACAGAGAUGUUGACCUGAAGCUCCCUCUCAGAGAUCCCUUACAAAGAUACAUCCCAAAUUUCUGAAAAUUGAAGGACUUAUAUUUUUGGGAACUCCAAGGGUGAUUAGCUGUGAUGGAAGCAGCCAUACUGAAGACAACAAGGGUACAGUGCAACAGGCUCAGCAUCACCCACAGGCAUUAGUAAAUCAUGGUAUCAGAAACAUGGAAAAUCUUCAGUUGGUAAAAACUCACAAGCAGGAAAGCCUGAAUCUCAACCUCAUUUCAGUCAGUGCCAGCCAAAGCAGCCACUGUUUGGGAGUGCUGGGGCAGAGCUGAUCCCUGUGCCAGGGCUGCAAUCAUUGGGUGCUGGCAGAGAAAUGUUCCCUUGAAUUGUGACACAGCCAUUUUCAUCUCACAGGAUGAGAUACAGGAGAGGUCAGUGUAAUCACCAUAACCUACUCC